rnacentral:lncRNA from 1 species
AAAAAAAAAAAAAAAAAAAGAAAAAGAAAAAAAUCCAUGAGCGAUAAACGAAGAUUGAACUCUAGUUAUCUAACUAGAGUUAGAUAACUACAUGCUGAAGUGUUAAAGAUUGAAGAAUACUGAUGUUAGCAACUUGAAAUUCUUAAAAAUAAGACGACUUGGUGGACAGAAUAUUCUGCAGCUGAUGACAAGAAUGGAAACUGUGGAUAUAGCCAGUAAAUGUAUACUUAGAAGAGACCAGAAAUACUUGCAAGAAAGAGGCCUGCUAUGAUGUGAGUUGUGUCCCCCCAGAUCACAUGUUAAGCCUAAUCACCAGUGUGAUGGUAUUGGGAGGUAAGACCUUUGGGAGGGCCUCAUGAAUGAGAUUAGUGCCCUCAUAAAAGAGGCCCUGAAGAGCUGCCUUGCCCCAUCCACCUUACAAAGGUGCAUUGAGAGGGGGCCAUCUAUGAGUCAGGAAGCAGGCCCUCACCAGACACUGAACCUGCCGGCACCUUGAUCUUGGACUUCUGAGCCUCCAGAACCGUGAGAAAUGAAUGUCUUUGUUUAGAAGCUACCCAGUUUGUGGUAUUUUGUUAUAGCAGUGCAAACAGACUGAGACAAGCCCCCAAUGUGGCAAGGGAAGAAAGGCCAUUCCAGAUCGUGGGAUGAAGUGCACUCUGGGGGUCAAGAGCACGACCUGGGUUUGAAUCCUGACUUUGCUCCUUCAUGGCAGAAGGAUCUUGAGUAUAUUACUGCCGUGGAUUGGUACUCUAUGUCCAUUCAUCUUGUAUCUCAGAGAUGAGAAACUGAAAACAUUUUCCAGACUCCCUUGCAGCUAGG